GACUUCAAAAGCGUCGCCAGAGAUCGGAGAAACUCACCGGAGCAAGUCGAGGACCUUACACCGUUCGGUAUACCUCUUAUUUACUUAUUGCCAAACGAUUCGUUAUUAAUCAUACAUUAAAAACACCAUCUAUUCAUUAAUAAUCAUAAACUGUAAGGUUGAUUUUCAUGGGUUCAGUAGGAUGGGUUAAUGUAUAAGAUGACUUAUUGUUGGUAUGUUCAAAUAAGAUAUAAAAAUAAAAAGAACUAGAUCUUGCAGUUCAAUCGAGUUGUAGGGUGGUCUUAUCCCGAGUCAUAUGAACUAGGGGCGCAAGUUCGAACCGGCUUCCCCCUUGUAUUUUCUUUGUCUGUUUUGGUUUUAUUUUGUCAAGUUUAAAGAGUCCAAUCUUGAAAACGUUCACACCAUCCAAAUCUGGUAAGAAUCUGAUUCCAACAACUUUACAUGAGUAUUGUUUAACAUCCAGUUUUUUUCAAUUUCAUAUUCACUUCUAAAUAUCGUCAGUAGAGCUCCAAAGAUUGAAGUUCAUCUGUAAAAUUUGGUUCAACUCAAUACAAAUCUUGUAAGCCUUUUAAGAAAUUAGGAAGCUGUUCUGGAUGAUACAAGAAGUUAAUAAUUGAAAAUGUGUCAGGUAUCUACACUAUAUAUUACAAAUGAUAAAACCACAUGUGAUUAAGAUAGUAAACAUUAUUUUUUAAUAGUGGCCAAACCUGAUCCAAUAUAUAUAUGACUCAAACAGGACAACAUACGACAAACUCCUCGUCCGGUAGAUGUAGUAGUGAAAGAAGAACAAGAAACUACCGAUAAUUGUUUUCAUAGCACUCUCCAUGAUGAAGAAUGGUGUUUGGAAAAUCUAAAUGCGAUAAUUGAAGUGUGUAAGGCUUACGACUAAAUUACAACGUAUUACAAUGCAAGUCGUUGACAAUUGGAUUUUUAUUUUAAA